UUGCAGCCAGUAGUCCCCACUGUGGUUUCUGCCCUGUGGGGCUCAGUUGCAGUGGCUGCAGAAACAACGAGCAGCCUUCUUGGCAGUGUUUGUGUCAAAACUGUGGCGUGUCGGGGCUGUUCUAAGGGUCCUUGGAGAAAGUC